GAGACUCUGUGCGCGUGCAUAUCAAUAAGCGGAGGAAAAGAAACUAACAAGGAUUCCCUUAGUAACGGCGAGUGAAGCGGGAAGAGCUCAAAUUUGAAAUCUUCAAGGUUUUACCUUGACGAAUUGUAGUUUAAAGAAGUGUUUUCUGUUGAAGUUUUGGUAAAAGUUCUUUGGAAUAGGACAUCAUAGAGGGUGAGAAUCCCGUAUUUGACCAUUAUUUUCAGCUGUGUGAUACACUUUCAAAGAGUCGGAUUGUUUGGGAAUGCAGUCCAAAAUGGGUGGUAAAUUUCAUCUAAAGCUAAAUAUUGGCGAGAGACCGAUAGCGAACAAGUACCGUGAGGGAAAGAUGAAAAGAACUUUGAAAAGAGAGUUAAACAGUACGUGAAAUUGUCACAAGGGAAGCGUUUGACACCAGUGUUGUUUUCUCGAAAAUCAAUUAAAAAGAGUUGGAUUUUGUGUUGUAUUGACCUUAACAGCUUUCUUCACUCUUUUCCUGCUUUUUUUAAUGCACUUUUCGUUUAACAAGUCAACAUCAGUUUCUUUUGUUGUAAAAGGGUCAUUGGAAGGUGGCUUUCUUUUCGGAGAAAGUGUUUAUAGCCUUUGAUCUCUGCAAUCGGAGAGACUGAGGUCUGCAGCGUAGAUCCUUCGGGGUUAGAUAUAUUUGUGCUAAGUUAUAACUUUUCAUAGACAACUUGUUGACUAUGUUUAGUCAUGUAGCUUACUCGCUUAUGCUAUUUUACCUACGCUUAGGAUGUUGAAUCUGUGCGAGACUAC
rnacentral:rRNA from 1 species